rnacentral:rRNA from 1 species
GACGAACGCUGGCGGCGUGCCUAAUACAUGCAAGUAGAACGCUGAAGAGAGGAGCUUGCUCUUCUUGGAUGAGUUGCGCACGGGUGAGUAACGCGUAGGUAACCUGCCUUGUAGCGGGGGAUAACUAUUGGAAACGAUAGCUAAUACCGCAUAACAAUGGAUGACACAUGUCAUUUAUUUGAAAGGGGCAAUUGCUCCACUACAAGAUGGACCUGCGUUGUAUUAGCUAGUAGGUGAGGUAAUGGCUCACCUAGGCGACGAUACAUAGCCGACCUGAGAGGGUGAUCGGCCACACUGGGACUGAGACACGGCCCAGAGUCCUACGGGAGGCAGCAGUAGGGAAUCUUCGGCAAUGGGGGCAACCCUGACCGAGCAACGCCGCGUGAGUGAAGAAGGUUGUCGGAUCGUAAAGCUCUGUUGUAAGUCAAGAACGGGUGUGAGAGUGGAAAGUUCACACUGUGACGGUAGCUUACCAGAAAGGGACGGCUAACUACGUG